AUAGCGUAUACUAAAGUUGUUGCAGUUAAAAAGCUCGUAGUUGGAUCUGAGGUGGGAGUCGUCGGUACAGCUUGCGCUGCGACUGUAUGUACUCUACCUUACACAGUCAUUAGACGCUCUGUGGUGCUCUUUACUGAGUGCUGCGGAGUGCAUGGCACGUUUACUUUGAAAAAAUUAAAGUGCUCAAAGCAGGCUUUGUAGCUUGUAUACUCUUGCAUGGAAUAAUGGAAUAGGACUUCGGUUCUAUUUUGUUGGUUUUCGGACCCGGAGUAAUGAUUAAAAGAGACUGCCGGGGGCAUAUGUAUGGUGGCGUUAGAGGUGAAAUUCUUGGAUCGCCGCCAGACAGUCUACUG
rnacentral:rRNA from 1 species